rnacentral:rRNA from 1 species
UACGUAGGACGCAAGCGUUAUCCGGAGUUACUGGGCGUAAAGCGCGAGCAGGCGGCUCGACAAGUUCGCUGUGAAAGCUCCCGGCUCAACCGGGCGAGGCCAGUGGAAACUAUCGAGCUGGAGGGCAGUAGAGGCAGGCGGAAUUCCGGGUGGAGUGGUGAAAUGCGUAGAGAUCCGGAGGAACACCAGAGGCGAAGGCGGCCUGCUGGGCUGCACCUGACGCUGAGCCGCGAAAGCCAGGGGAGCGAACGGG